CGUGGACCCGUGAUCCGGGUUGCGGACAGUGUCUGGUGGGUAGUUUGACUGGGGCGGUCUCCUCCUAAAGAGUAACGGAGGAGCACGAAGGUUGGCUAAUCCUGGUCGGACAUCAGGAGGUUAGUGCAAUGGCAUAAGCCAGCUUGACUGCGAGCGUGACGGCGCGAGCAGGUGCGAAAGCAGGUCAUAGUGAUCCGGUGGUUCUGAAUGGAAGGGCCAUCGCUCAACGGAUAAAAGGUACUCCGGGGAUAACAGGCUGAUACCGCCCAAGAGUUCAUAUCGACGGCGGUGUUUGGCACCUCGAUGUCGGCUCAUCACAUCCUGGGGCUGAAGUAGGUCCCAAGGGUAUGGCUGUUCGCCAUUUAAAGUGGUACGCGAGCUGGGUUUAGAACGUCGUGAGACAGUUCGGUCCCUAUCUGCCGUGGGCGCUGGAGAACUGAGGGGGGCUGCUCCUAGUACGAGAGGACCGGAGUGGACGCAUCACUGGUGUUCGGGUUGUCAUGCCAAUGGCACUGCCCGGUAGCUAAAUGCGGAAGAGAUAAGUGCUGAAAGCAUCUAAGCACGAAACUUGCCCCGAGAUGAGUUCUCCCUGAGACUUUAGGUCUCCUGAAGGAACGUUGAAGACGACGACGUUGAUAGGCCGGGUGUGUAAGCGCAGCGAUGCGUUGAGCUAACCGGUACUAAUGAACCGUGAGGCUUAACCUUACA
rnacentral:rRNA from 1 species